UGGCGGACGGGUGAGUAAUGUCUGGGAAACUGCCCGAUGGAGGGGGAUAACUACUGGAAACGGUAGCUAAUACCGCAUAACGUCGCAAGGCCAAAGAGGGGGACCUUCGGGCCUCUUGCCAUCGGAUGUGCCCAGAUGGGAUUAGCUAGUAGGUAAGGUAACGGCUUACCUAGGCGACGAUCCCUAGCUGGUCUGAGAGGAUGAUCAGCCACACUGGGACUGAGACACGGCCCAG
rnacentral:rRNA from 1 species